ensembl:misc_RNA Metazoa_SRP Metazoan signal recognition particle RNA
GCCGGGCGAGGUGGCGCACGCCUGUAGUCCCAGUUACUCGGGAGGCUGAGACAGGAGGAUCGCUUGAAUCCAGGAGUUCUGGGCUGUAGUGCGCUAUGCCGAUCGGGUGUCUGCACUAAGUUCGGCAUCAAUAUGGUGACCUCCCGGGAGCAGGGGGCCACCAGGUUGCCUAAGGAGGCAGAGUUCUAUACCCCACUAAAGACAAUCAUAAGAACCUACUCAAUCAUGCAUUGUUUGUGCUAAAUUUUUUCACAUAUUAGGCUAUGGGAAAAUCAGCCACAGAUCGCCUCU